rnacentral:rRNA from 1 species
CCUACGGGAGGCAGCAGUGAGGAAUAUUGGUCAAUGGGCGGGAGCCUGAACCAGCCAAGCCGCGUGAGGGAUGACGGCCCUAUGGGUUGUAAACCUCUUUUGCCGGGGAGCAAAGUGCCGCACGUGUGCGGUUUGGAGAGUACCCGGAGAAAAAGCAUCGGCUAACUCCGUGCCAGCAGCCGCGGUAAUACGGAGGAUGCGAGCGUUAUCCGGAUUUAUUGGGUUUAAAGGGUGCGUAGGCGGACGCUUAAGUCAGCGGUAAAAUGGCGGGGCUCAACCUCGUCGAGCCGUUGAAACUGGGUGCCUUGAGUGGGCGAGAGGUACGCGGAAUGCGUGGUGUAGCGGUGAAAUGCGUAGAUAUCACGCAGAACUCCGAUUGCGAAGGCAGCAUACCGGCGCCCAACUGACGCUGAGGCACGAAGGCGUGGGUAUCGAACAGGAUUAGAUACCCUUGUAGUC